rnacentral:misc_RNA from 1 species
CCGAACGGACGGACAGAGAGUUACAUUAGAGACAAACAAGGUUACGGAAUAGUUAUUUAAGAUUUUAAAGACUGAAGAAGAAAGAUCGGUAGCUGAGGAUGUUGAAAAUCGAUUCUCAAUUUUCAGAUGGCAGUUAUACAGUGACUACGAAAGGUAUUUAAGUAAUAUGAAUAUAAAUACAUGAUACAUGUAUUAAACUUGGUAUUAUUUAAUAGUACUUUCAUACGAUUAUAAGGAUUUGAUUUGAAAUAUAAAAGCUGAUAGGAAAACGGUUCAUUG